GCCUGGGUGGCUCAGUGGUUGAGCGUCUGCCUUUGGCUCAGGUCAUGAUCCCGGGGUCCUGGGAUCAAGUCCCACAUCGGGCU
rnacentral:tRNA from 1 species